AUAACAUUCAUUUCCAAUGAUGUUCAAUGCUAACGACAAUUUGUUGUAUCGUGUACAUCGCGGGGUAUUUCUUCUUCUUACCCUUGUCCAGGAUGUCCUGCACGAGCUGUUCCUCAGUAGAGAGGACUUCCUCUCUCCCUGCCUCCGUUCUCCCUCCAUCGUUCUCACCAGCACUAACAGGCGUCUCUUCAGACCUGUGCGUUCCCGCCUCUGUCCAGUAUUUCUCUUCCACUUCGGCCAGAUCAUAUGUUCCAGCUCCACUGCAAGGAAAGUGAAGAGCAGGCCAC